GCAGUUGAAAUUGUUUGUUUGUUAUUUUAAAUCUUUCCCUAAAGUUACAAAUUAUUAAUGCCUAAUUAUAAUUUUACUUCUAAUUUAGCUAAGGCUCAGACUGGCUUUUUUAGUUCAACCUAUUAUGCCAUAAAACAGGUCAUGAUGCCCUUCACUUGUUAUGAUAAAUACAUAUCUCAGUCAUGUCAGUUAUUUAUUGGACCUUAUCAUCCACCUUGUGCCACGAAGGCAGAAUAUAAACUGUCUAUCUUUGCACACCAGCAUGGAGCAAGCAGAAGUUGACUCAGAAAUUGAAUUUCCUGUUCCUUCUAAGCAGCAGGGGAGACGAAGAGCUAAAAGUUCUGAGAGAAAAGAGUCUCCAUCUCCUCCACUGUGGUGCAUUGUAGUGAUUCUUGGGAUCCUCUGCCUGGCUUCGCUGGUGACUGCAAGGGUCUUAGGUUCCCAGAUUUUUCAGAUCUCCCAAAUACCCUGUAGACAGCAGGAAAACCUGAACCAGUUUCAGGAAAUUAUCCCAG